rnacentral:snRNA from 1 species
AUACUUACCUGGCAGGGGAGAUACCAUGAUCACGAAGGUGGUUUUCCCAGGGUGAGGCUCAUCCAUUGCACUGCGGGUGUGUUGACCCCUGCGAUUUCCCCAAAUGGGGGAAACUCGACUGCAUAAUUUGUGGUAGUGGGGGACUGCGUUCGCGCUCUCCCCUG